rnacentral:misc_RNA from 1 species
GAGUGGUUUUGGACCCGUGUCUGUCGGUAGAUCCCCCGUUUUUGUGCGGCCGACUACCGGCGCCGUGUCCAGUCGUUCCUGUGGCUUUGUGUUACCGUUGCAUUUCAAGUGCUUGCGUGCUGGUACCCGAACUAAGGGAAUUGGUGCUAAGUACAUGUUGCCUCGCGGUGGACGCCUCCGGGUGUGCUGCUGCGGCCAAAUGGCGUUUGCGGCGUUGCCUCGUUACGCUGCCAUGUUUACGUGGCUGUUGUUAUCAAGGCAACCUCGCUCCCGCUGUUGGUCUCGGAUGUUGCCCACGAUGAAGUCUCAUGGCCCUUUUUGGUUGCCUAGACCCGACCCUAAGAGGCUCUCCGAAUUGAGAACAACCGGAACAGGUGUUGCCUCUACGUAUUCCGCAGUUAGUGGUAUGAUACGCAACAUUUUGCGCCGAUCCUCAAAUAAGUAGGACGAGCUUGGCCCGCUCAAUUGUGACAACCGGCGCGGGGACUGCUUCUGGCUUGACACGCAAGUGGACGGACGGACGACUCCCGACGCUGGACGUCAACAAGGACGUGCUACCUGGUUGAUCCUGCCA